rnacentral:lncRNA from 1 species
GUGUCACCUUAGACAACCUGCUUUCCUUGUCUGGGCCAGUAAAAUGAGGCUUGUUUUUUUUUUUAGGCAUGUGGCACCCAGAUCUCGGUUGAAAUCCUGCCUUUUACAGCUAGUGUUCUCAUGAAAGGCUCCCUCCACAAGAACCUGGACAGGAACAAAACCAUUGGACCCCCUUGAUUCAAUCAUUGGGUGAAGAAGCACAUAUUGAGUCACUCCCUCAUGAAGGACCCUGAGCUCAUAUAGAGACCCCCACAACUGACCCAAACUCUCUACUUUUAAGUACUCAAGGUGUCUAUCAAUCUAUAAUCAUUUUUCUUUGUUUCUCAGUUCCAGGUCCAUCCACAAGAGUAGCACCUAAGCCUACCCUGGAACCCACAGGGCCUGGAGGACGCUCCAAAGCUUCUUUGCUGACCACAUCUCCGCCAGCCACAUCCCCAGGUCCAUCAAUUUUCUCAAGCACCACAGGCCAGGACACAGCCAAAAUGAACUGAAUCAGGGCUCUCCUUGCUCCAUCUAAAUCCCCACAGCUGCAAGUGCCCUUAUUAUCUCUAACUUCAUGGUAGAACUUCAUGGCAGAGAGGAAGGGAGUGCCCACAAGAAU